GAUGAAGAACGUAGCGAAAUGCGAUAAGUAAUGUGAAUUGCAGAAUUCAGUUAAUCAUCGAAUCUUUGAACGCACAUUGCGCCCGCCAGUAUUCUGGCGGGCAUGCCUGUCCGAGCGUCAUUUCAACCAUCAAGCCCCGGGCUUGUGUUGGGGACCUGCGUCCGACGCAGGCCCUGAAAACCAGUGGCGGGCUCGCUGUCCACACCGAGCGUAGUAACUAACCUCGCUAUGGAGUGGCGCGGGCGCCUGCCGUAAAACCCCCAAUUUCACAAGGUUGACCUCGGAUCAGGUAGGAAUACCCGCUGAACUUAAGCAUAUCAAUAAGCGGAGGA
rnacentral:misc_RNA from 1 species